GUAGGUGAACCUGCGGAAGGAUCAUUAUCACGUAUCCAAACGUAUAAACCAAUGAGCACCUCCUUUUCUCCUCCUGAUGGGCUUUCAUGAAGUUGGCGAGAGAAGUUGAUAUUCCUUUCAUGGUCUUUAGGAAUUCUCUCGUCGUGUGAUCUGAUCAGUAAAAUGGUCUCUUCACAGCCUUCUAAGUCCUGGAGUGUACUAAACCAUGCAACCCUGUUUAACCUUAUUAACUACUUGUACCUUUAUGAACUGACUUAGGCUUCAUAAGUGGAGGCUGAUAUGAUGGACUUCGGUCUAUCAUGUUGGCCAACUCUUUGAACCUUUAUUUAUAUAAACUCUGAACUACUCUUAACAACGGAUAUCUUGGUUCUC
rnacentral:misc_RNA from 1 species